UACGUAAGGUGCGAGCGUUAAUCGGAAUUACUGGGCGUAAAGCGUGCGCAGGCGGUUUUGUAAGCCAGAUGUGAAAGCCCCGGGCUUAACCUGGGAAUGGCAUUUGGGACUGCAAGGCUUGAGUGCGGCAGAGGAGACUGGAAUUCCCGGUGUAGCAGUGAAAUGCGUAGAUAUCGGGAGGAACACCUGCGGCGAAGGCGGGUUGCUGGGCUGACACUGACGCUGAGGCGCGAAAGCUAGGGGAGCGAACGGG
rnacentral:rRNA from 1 species